GUUAAGCGACUAAGCGUACACGGUGGAUGCCCUGGCAGUCAGAGGCGAUGAAGGACGUGCUAAUCUGCGAUAAGCGUCGGUAAGGUGAUAUGAACCGUUAUAACCGGCGAUUUCCGAAUGGGGAAACCCAGUGUGUUUCGACACACUAUCAUUAACUGAAUCCAUAGGUUAAUGAGGCGAACCGGGGGAACUGAAACAUCUAAGUACCCCGAGGAAAAGAAAUCAACCGAGAUUCCCCCAGUAGCGGCGAGCGAACGGGGAGCAGCCCAGAGCCUGAAUCAGUGUGUGUGUUAGUGGAAGCGUCUGGAAAGGCGCGCGAUACAGGGUGACAGCCCCGUACACAAAAAUGCACAUGCUGUGAGCUCGAUGAGUAGGGCGGGACACGUGGUAUCCUGUCUGAAUAUGGGGGGACCAUCCUCCAAGGCUAAAUACUCCUGACUGACCGAUAGUGAACCAGUACCGUGAGGGAAAGGCGAAAAGAACCCCGGCGAGGGGAGUGAAAAAGAACCUGAAACCGUGUACGUACAAGCAGUGGGAGCACGCUUAGGCGUGUGACUGCGUACCUUUUGUAUAAUGGGUCAGCGACUUAUAUUCUGUAGCAAGGUUAACCGAAUAGGGGAGCCGAAGGGAAACCGAGUCUUAACUGGGCGUUAAGUUGCAGGGUAUAGACCCGAAACCCGGUGAUCUAGCCAUGGGCAGGUUGAAGGUUGGGUAACACUAACUGGAGGACCGAACCGACUAAUGUUGAAAAAUUAGCGGAUGACUUGUGGCUGGGGGUGAAAGGCCAAUCAAACCGGGAGAUAGCUGGUUCUCCCCGAAAGCUAUUUAGGUAGCGCCUCGUGAAUUCAUCUCCGGGGGUAGAGCACUGUUUCGGCAAGGGGGUCAUCCCGACUUACCAACCCGAUGCAAACUGCGAAUACCGGAGAAUGUUAUCACGGGAGACACACGGCGGGUGCUAACGUCCGUCGUGAAGAGGGAAACAACCCAGACCGCCAGCUAAGGUCCCAAAGUCAUGGUUAAGUGGGAAACGAUGUGGGAAGGCCCAGACAGCCAGGAUGUUGGCUUAGAAGCAGCCAUCAUUUAAAGAAAGCGUAAUAGCUCACUGGUCGAGUCGGCCUGCGCGGAAGAUGUAACGGGGCUAAACCAUGCACCGAAGCUGCGGCAGCGACGCUUAUGCGUUGUUGGGUAGGGGAGCGUUCUGUAAGCCUGCGAAGGUGUGCUGUGAGGCAUGCUGGAGGUAUCAGAAGUGCGAAUGCUGACAUAAGUAACGAUAAAGCGGGUGAAAAGCCCGCUCGCCGGAAGACCAAGGGUUCCUGUCCAACGUUAAUCGGGGCAGGGUGAGUCGACCCCUAAGGCGAGGCCGAAAGGCGUAGUCGAUGGGAAACAGGUUAAUAUUCCUGUACUUGGUGUUACUGCGAAGGGGGGACGGAGAAGGCUAUGUUGGCCGGGCGACGGUUGUCCCGGUUUAAGCGUGUAGGCUGGUUUUCCAGGUAAAUCCGGAAAAUCAAGGCUGAGGCGUGAUGACGAGGCACUACGGUGCUGAAGCAACAAAUGCCCUGCUUCCAGGAAAAGCCUCUAAGCAUCAGGUAACAUCAAAUCGUACCCCAAACCGACACAGGUGGUCAGGUAGAGAAUACCAAGGCGCUUGAGAGAACUCGGGUGAAGGAACUAGGCAAAAUGGUGCCGUAACUUCGGGAGAAGGCACGCUGAUAUGUAGGUGAAGUCCCUCGCGGAUGGAGCUGAAAUCAGUCGAAGAUACCAGCUGGCUGCAACUGUUUAUUAAAAACACAGCACUGUGCAAACACGAAAGUGGACGUAUACGGUGUGACGCCUGCCCGGUGCCGGAAGGUUAAUUGAUGGGGUUAGCCGCAAGGCGAAGCUCUUGAUCGAAGCCCCGGUAAACGGCGGCCGUAACUAUAACGGUCCUAAGGUAGCGAAAUUCCUUGUCGGGUAAGUUCCGACCUGCACGAAUGGCGUAAUGAUGGCCAGGCUGUCUCCACCCGAGACUCAGUGAAAUUGAACUCGCUGUGAAGAUGCAGUGUACCCGCGGCAAGACGGAAAGACCCCGUGAACCUUUACUAUAGCUUGACACUGAACAUUGAGCCUUGAUGUGUAGGAUAGGUGGGAGGCUUUGAAGUGUGGACGCCAGUCUGCAUGGAGCCGACCUUGAAAUACCACCCUUUAAUGUUU
rnacentral:rRNA from 1 species